UACGUAGGGUGCGAGCGUUGUCCGGAAUUAUUGGGCGUAAAGAGCUCGUAGGCGGUGUGUCACGUCGGUCGUGAAAACUUUCAGCUUAACUGGGAGCUUGCGGUCGAUACGGGCAUCACUGGAGUUCGGCAGGGGAGACUGGAAUUCAAGGUGUAGCGGUGAAAUGCGCAGAUAUCUUGAGGAACACCGGUGGCGAAGGCGGGUCUCUGGGCCGAUACUGACGCUGAGGAGCGAAAGCGUGGGGAGCGAACAGG
rnacentral:rRNA from 1 species